GAAGGAGGCUUUGGAAGCAGAACACCACCUGUCAAAUAUGUCUGAACAGCUCUCAUCACCUGGUCAAUGGGGAGACCAAUCCUUUUUUCAUGCUAAUGGUUUUUGUCACACUAAGGCAUGUGAGUGAAUUGUAUUGGCUUUAUUUAUGCUGUUGUAACAUUUGAGGGAGCCAAUUAAUCAGCCUUCCUAACUCUCAGAAUUCCUCUUUUCCAGGGGCUGUUUCCUUGCCUCUUCUGCUCUUUUCUGCUCUAAUUGAAAAGAGAAGCAAGUAACAAAAGUUUUUAUGUAACGACCUCGUAAUUCACAUGACUUUAUCUAAGCAUCUGGGUACUGCCUUUACAGCAGCUAUGGAUCUGCAGGUGAAUCAAGUCUCGCCUGUGCAGUGUUGGUGGAAUGACAAAUGGAACACUUCUGGAUCUGCUCAAGACAACAGCAUCUAUUGACUCUUCUGGUUUAAAUGUGGAAACCAAACUUGAUAAGAGUAGUAAGUUUACUGUUCUUAUGUCACAAGGUAAAAAUUCUACAGACAUGUAAAAAUAAAAUCAAAAAGCAAAUAAAAUCAAUUGCUUAAUGCAUAAAAGGG